rnacentral:rRNA from 1 species
UACGGAGGGGGCUAGCGUUGUUCGGAAUUACUGGGCGUAAAGCGCACGUAGGCGGCUUUCUAAGUCGGGGGUGAAAUCCUGGAGCUCAACUCCAGAACUGCCUUCGAUACUGGAGAGCUUGAGUCCGGGAGAGGUGAGUGGAACUCCGAGUGUAGAGGUGAAAUUCGUAGAUAUUCGGAAGAACACCAGUGGCGAAGGCGACUUACUGGACGAUUGUUGACGCUGAGGUGCGAAAGCGUGGGGAGCAAACAGG